rnacentral:rRNA from 1 species
UACAGAGGGUGCGAGCGUUGUUCGGAAUUACUGGGCGUAAAGCGCGCGUAGGUGGUGUGUUAAGUCCACUCGUGAAAUGCUGGGGCUCAACCCCAUGCGCUGCGGGGGAUACUGGCACGCUGGAGACACGUAGAGGCAAGCGGAAUUCCGGGUGUAGCGGUGGAAUGCGUAGAGAUCCGGAAGAACACCGGAGGCGAAGGCGGCUCACUGGACCGGUACUGACGCUGAGGCGCGAAAGCGUGGGUAGCAAACAGG